AUGGGUGGGAGGAAUAUCGGAGUUGCUGUGGACUUCUCAUCGUGCAGCAAAGCGGCUCUGCGAUGGGCGUCAACCAACCUUGCCAGGAGCGGUGAUCAACUCGUGCUGAUCCAUGUCAACAACUCCUACCAGAAUGAGCAAGGAGCGAUGCAUCUCUGGGAACAGAGUGGUUCACCGCUCAUCCCUCUGGUAGAGUUCUCGGACCCCCAUGUCACCAAGAAGUACGGCCUGUCACCGGACAAGGAGACGCUGGAGAUCCUGGCCCAAGUGGCACAUCAGAGCGGGGUUGAGGUCUUUGGGAAGAUACUCUACGGCGACCCGACCAAGAAGGUGUGUGAGGCAGUCGACCUGGUUCCCCUCAGCUGCCUGGUCAUCGGAAGCAGAGGCCUGAGCACGCUCAAGAGGGCUCUUGGUGUGUUCGCCCGCGUCUGCUUUGUAUUCUCACAGAUACUAUAUUUCAUAGCAACACCAUGA
rnacentral:rRNA from 1 species